AUUGAACGCUGGCGGAAUGCUUUACACAUGCAAGUCGAACUGCAGCACGGGGCAACCUGGUGGCGAGUGGCGAACGGGUGAGUAAUACAUCGGAACGUGCCCAAUCGUGGGGGAUAACGUAGCGAAAGCUACGCUAAUACCGCAUACGAUCUACGGAUGAAAGCGGGGGAUCGCAAGACCUCGCGCGAAUGGAGCGGCCGAUGGCAGAUUAGGUAGUUGGUGGGGUAAAGGCUCACCAAGCCGACGAUCUGUAGCUGGUCUGAGAGGACGACCAGCCACACUGGGACUGAGAAACGGCCCAGACUCCUACGGGAGGCAGCAGUGGGGAAUUUUGGACAAUGGGCGCAAGCCUGAUCCAGCCAUUCCGCGUGCAGGAUGAAGGCCUUCGGGUUGUAAACUGCUUUUGUACGGAACGAAAAGGCUCUGGUUAAUACCCGGGGCUCAUGAUGGUACCGUAAGAAUAAGCACCGGCUAACUACGUGCCAGCCGCCGCAGUAA
rnacentral:rRNA from 1 species